AACGCACAUUGCGCCCUCUGGUAUUCCGGGGGGCAUGCCUGUUCGAGCGUCAUUACAACCCUCAAGCUCAGCUUGGUAUUGGGUGCUACCAUUUAGGUACACCUCAAAAUCAGUGGCGGUGCCAUCUGGCUUCUAGCGUAGUAAUACUUUUCGCUAUGGAGCUCUGGUGUAUGCUUGCCAUCAACCUCUAUUUUACUGGUUGACCUCGGAUCAGGUAGGGAUACCCGCUGAACUUAA
rnacentral:misc_RNA from 1 species